UGAGUUCGCCAAAAAAUUCAUUUGGAUUUUUCUGUAACAUCUUACAGAAAAACUCAAACAAACUUUUUAGCCAACCAAA
rnacentral:miRNA from 1 species